rnacentral:tRNA from 1 species
GCCAGUGUGGCAUAAGGGUUGGAGUGUUGGACUAGGACUCUGGAGGCCGGGGUUCGAAUCCCGGCUCGGCCA